AUUGAACGCUGGCGGCAUGCUUUACACAUGCAAGUCGAACGGUAACAGGCCGCAAGGUGCUGACGAGUGGCGAACGGGUGAGUAAUGCAUCGGAACGUGCCCAGUCGUGGGGGAUAACUACUCGAAAGAGUAGCUAAUACCGCAUACGAUCUAUGGAUGAAAGCGGGGGACCGUAAGGCCUCGCGCGAUUGGAGCGGCCGAUGUCAGAUUAGGUAGUUGGUGGGGUAAAGGAUCACAAAGCCAACGAUCUGUAGCUGAUCUGAGAGGACGACCAGCCACAGUGAGAGAGGGAUGCGGCACAGAUACCUACGGGAAACAGCAAUGGGGAAGUUUGGACAAGGAGAGGAAGAAUGGUAAAAAGAUGCCGCAUGAGGGAAGAAGUUCUCGGAGUUGGGAAGUGGAGUUGUAUAAAAGGAAAAGGCAUGGGGUAAGACACAAGGCUGAUGACGAUACCGGAGGAGAAAGCACAGGCUAAAUACGUA
rnacentral:rRNA from 1 species